rnacentral:rRNA from 1 species
CCUACGGGAGGCAGCAGUAGGGAAUUUUCGUCAAUGGGCGCAAGCCUGAACGAGCGAUGCCGCGUGAGUGAAGAAGGCCUUCGGUUCGUAAAGCUCUGUUGCGGGGGAAAAAAGUCAGCAUCAGUAAAUGGGUGCUGACUGCUGGUGCCCCGCCAGCAAGUCACGGCUAACUACGUGCCAGCAGCCGCGGUAAUACGUAGGUGGCGAGCGUUAUCCGGAAUGAUUUGGCGUAAAGGGUGCGCAGGCGGUCAGGCAAGUCUGGGGUGAAACGGAUGAGCUCAACUCAUGCAGGGCUUUGGAAACUGGAGAACUGGAGAGCAGGAGAGGGCAGUGGAACUCCAAGUGUAGCGGUAAAAUGCGUAGAUAUAUGGAAGAACACCAGUGGCGAAGGCGGCCGCCUGGCCUGUUGCUGACGCUGAGGCACGAAAGCGUGGGGAGCAAAUAGGAUUAGAUACCCUUGUAGUG